UACGUAGGGUGCGAGCGUUAAUCGGAAUUACUGGGCGUAAAGAGUGCGUAGGCGGUUCGUUAUGUCUGCUGUGAAAGCCCCGGGCUUAACCCGGGAAUGGCAGUGGAAACUGGCGGGCUUGAGUGUGGCAGAGGGGGUGGAAUUCCGCGUGUAGCAGUGAAAUGCGUAGAGAUGCGGAGGAACACCGAUGGCGAAGGCAGCCCCCUGGGCUAACACUGAC
rnacentral:rRNA from 1 species